rnacentral:rRNA from 1 species
GACGAACCGUGCGAACGUUAUUCGGAAUCACUGGGCGUAAAGGGCGCGUAGGCGGGAUGGUAAGUCGGUCGUGAAAUCUCUCGGCUCAACCGAGAAACGUCGGCCGAUACUGCCGUUCUUGAGGGAUGCAGAGGAGACUGGAAUUCCCGGUGUAGCGGUGAAAUGUGUAGAGAUCGGGAGGAACACCGGUGGCGAAGGCGGGUCUCUGGGCAUUUCCUGACGCUGAGGCGCGAAAGCGUGGGGAGCAAACGGG